rnacentral:rRNA from 1 species
UACGAAGGGUGCAAGCGUUACUCGGAAUUACUGGGCGUAAAGCGUGCGUAGGUGGUUCGUUAAGUCUGAUGUGAAAGCCCUGGGCUCAACCUGGGAAUGGCAUUGGAAACUGGCGACCUAGAGUGCGGUAGAGGGUAGUGGAAUUCCCGGUGUAGCAGUGAAAUGCGUAGAGAUCGGGAGGAACAUCCGUGGCGAAGGCGACUACCUGGACCAGCACUGACACUGGGGCACGAAAGCGUGGGGAGCAAACAGG